rnacentral:rRNA from 1 species
GACGAACGCUAGCGGCGUGCUUAACACAUGCAAGUCGAACGAUGAAGCCGGAGCUUGCUCUGGUGAAUUAGUGGCGAACGAGUGAGUAACACGUGAGUAACCUGCCCUUGACUCUGGGAUAACUGCGGGAAACUGUAGCUAAUACCGGAUACGACCCUCGGAGGCAUCUCCUGGGGGUGGAAAGAAUUUCGGUCAAGGAUGGACUCGCGGCCUAUCAGCUAGUUGGGGAGGUAAAGGCUCACCAAGGCGACGACGGGUAGCCGGCCUGAGAGGGUGACCGGCCACACUGGGACUGAGACACGGCCCAGACUCCUACGGGAGGCAGCAGUGGGGAAUAUUGCACAAUGGGCGCAAGCCUGAUGCAGCAACGCCGCGUGAGGGAUGACGGCCUUCGGGUUGUAAACCUCUUUUAGCAGGGAAGAAGCGAAAGUGACGGUACCUGCAGAAAAAGCACCGGCUAACUACGUGCCAGCCGCCGCCGUAA